AGGUUUGUAGCUCAUGCGAUAAGAGCGUACGCCUGAUAAGCGUGAGGUCGAUGGUUAAAGUCCAUCUAAGCCCACCA
rnacentral:tRNA from 1 species